UCGACGCGAGUUAAAGACGGGACCCUUCUCGGACACGGAAUAGAAACCCUUAAUUUUUAAUUUCUAAAUUAGAACUAAUUGUUUAUAAUUUUUAUUUGGUGUAAAAAUAUUAUUAUUGGAGAUUAGGAAUUAAUUAAUUGUGAUUAGGUUAUUAAGUGGGAAUUGUAAAUAAUUAAAUUAAUUAAGAUUAAUUAAUGAAGUGGGCCCCACCCGAUUUUUAAAAAUUAAAAAAAAAAAAAAAGGAAAAACACAUGCCACAUAAGGGGGGCACGUGUAGGGCUGGAGAGAAUCAUAUAUACACCAUCAAAUUACUUGCUAAACAUCAUUCAUAUUGUUGAAGCAAGAACAAAGCAAAAGAAAAGAAAAAAAAAACUCUCUCGGCCAUGUGAGAUUUCUAGCCGAGGGGGAAGUUGAAGAAAAAAAGAAUUUGAGGUGUGAAAUUGUUGUAGCAUCCAAGUGAUUAGCAAGGUUAAGAAGCCAAGUUGAUUAAGGCUAAAAGAGCGACGAGGCGAAAGGAUUCACGAAUAGUCGCUAACAGGUGCAGAUACUCGCUUUGGUGAUCCGCCGGCUUAGGAUUUCCUUUAUGCUGUUUUGGAGAGCUCCGUUGUUCCGGAGCCCAGAUUUUGGUACAGAUCCUUUUGAUGUAUAUAUAUGUAUAUGUUGUUUAGGGGUACGACGGGGCCUUGUCCCGUCAUAUUUCACUGUUGAAACUCUUAGAGGUCUGUAGACAUGUAUGUGGGUUGUAUCCAGAUGUGAUCAGUUGUGUUUAUGCUCAUUGUGCAUGUUCUG